AUUGAACGCUGGCGGCAGGCCUAACACAUGCAAGUCGAGCGGAUGAAGGGAGCUUGCUCCUGGAUUCAGCGGCGGACGGGUGAGUAAUGCCUAGGAAUCUGCCUGGUAGUGGGGGAUAACGUCCGGAAACGGGCGCUAAUACCGCAUACGUCCUGAGGGAGAAAGUGGGGGAUCUUCGGACCUCACGCUAUCAGAUGAGCCGAGGUCGGAUUAGCUAGAUGGUGGGGUAAAGGCCUACCAAGGCGACGAUCCGUAACUGGUCUGAGAGGAUGAUCAGUCACACUGGAACUGAGACACGGUCCAGACUCCUACGGGAGGCAGCAGUGGGGAAUAUUGGACAAUGGGCGAAAGCCUGAUCCAGCCAUGCCGCGUGUGUGAAGAAGGUCUUCGGAUUGUAAAGCACUUUAAGUUGGGAGGAAGGGCAGUAAGUUAAUACCUUGCUGUUUUGACGUUACCAACAGAAUAAGCACCGGCUAACUUCGUG
rnacentral:rRNA from 1 species